rnacentral:rRNA from 1 species
GACAGAGGGUGCAAACGUUUGUUCGGAAUUACGUGGGCGUAAAGGCGUGUGUAGCGGCUCGCAAGUCGGAUGUGAAAGCCCGGCGUCAACCCGGGAAGUGCACUCGAUACUGCGGAGCUAGAGUGUCGGAGAGGUUGGUGGAAUUCUACGGUGUAGAGGUGAAAAUUCGUAGAUAUCGAGAGGAACACCGGUGGCGAAGGCGGCCAACUGGACGAACACUGACGCUGAGACACGAAAGCCGGUGGGGAGCAAACAGG